GCUCGAUAAGGGCAAAUCUAGCGAAAGCUAGAGACGCAAAGUUACCGGUCUACGGGGAAACCUAUGGCAGCGGAACUACCGAA
rnacentral:ncRNA from 1 species